UGCAUAUGCAACACUUGCAAUGUAAAAUUUCUUUAACAAUGCCAUGGUAGAGAUUUUCAUGGUUUUUCAUGCAUAAGUAAUCUGUCUUGAUCUUGUGCUUUUUCCGACUUCUAGCUGGUAUCUCAUGGUGCAUUGUAUUUUUGGUUCUAACUUAUUAUGGUCAUCUAUACUGUACUGUUGGUCAGACAAAGGACUUAUACUGCAAGUUGUAUGUCAAAAUGCCUAAUGAAUUGCAAUUUUUUUAUUAUUUCGUUAAUUUGGUCUUCUUUGUGAUUGAGUGCAUAAUUCUAUGUAGAUGUGGUAUUAUUAAUACCGUGAUUAUCAUUUGCAGGCAGUUGUUCUUG
rnacentral:misc_RNA from 1 species